CGCCUCUUGACUUGUAAAUAAGAGGUCCAGCCUGCCCAGUGAAUUUUUAACGGCCGCGGUAUCCUAACCGCGCGAAGGUAGCAUAAUCACUUGUUCUUUAAAUGGGGACUCGUAUCAACGGCAUCACGAGGGUUUUACUGUCUCCUCUUUUUGAUCAGUGAAAUUGAUCUUCCCGUGAAGAAGCGGGAAUACUUAUAUAAGACGAGAAGACCCCAUGGAGCUUUAAACCAACUAGCAACUUAACCAUAUAUUGCCUAAUAAUUUUAAGCCCGUGCUACAAGGUUUUUGGUUGGGGUGACCGCGGAGUAAAGCACAUCCUCCACGACGGAAAGACUAUAAUCUUUAUUUAAGAACUACAAUUCCAGAAAUUAGUAUACUAACGUUUACUGACCCGACAAUCGAUCAACGGAACAAGUUACCCUGGGGAUAACAGCGCAAUCUACUUCAAGAGCCCAUAUCGACAAGUAGGCUUACGACCUCGAUGUUGGAUCAGGGUAUCCCAGUGGUGCAGCCGCUACUGAAGGUUCGUUUGUUCAACGAUUAAAACCCU
rnacentral:rRNA from 1 species